CACGGGGGUUGGAGGGCAAGUCUGGUGCCAGCAGCCGCGGUAAUUCCAGCUCCAAUAGCGUAUAUUAAAGUUGUUGCAGUUAAAAAGCUCGUAGUUGAAUUUCGGGAUCAGUAGGUUGGUCAUGCCUAUGGUAUGUACUGGCUUUACUGGUUCCUCCUUCUUGAUGAUCUGUAAUGUCAUUAAUUUGGUGUUGCAGGGAGUCAGGACUGUUACUUUGAAAAAAUUAGAGUGUUUAAAGCAGGCAUACGCUUGAAUACAUUAGCAUGGAAUAAUGAAAUAGGACGUUCGAUCCUAUUUUGUUGGUUUCUAGGAUUGACGUAAUGAUUAAUAGGGAUAGUUGGGGGCAUUAGUAUUCAAUUGUCAGAGGUGAAAUUCUUGGAUUUAUUGAAGACUAACUACUGCG
rnacentral:rRNA from 1 species